rnacentral:rRNA from 1 species
UACGUAGGGGGCUAGCGUUGUCCGGAAUUAUUGGGCGUAAAGGGAGUGUAGGCGGUUUGCUAAGUCUUCUGUGAAAUCUACGGGCUCAGCCUGUAACGUGCAGAGGAAACUGACAGACUUGAGUGUCGGAGAGGAUAGUGGAAUUCCCGGUGUAGAGGUGAAAUUCGUAGAGAUCGGGAGGAACACCAGUGGCGAAGGCGACUAUCUGGCUGACAACUGACGCUGAGACUCGAAAGCAUGGGGAGCAAACAGG